rnacentral:rRNA from 1 species
UACGGAGGAUGCAAGCGUUAUCCGGAAUCAUUGGGCGUAAAGCGUUCGUAGGUGGUUUUUCAAGUCUGCGGUGAAAUCACAAGGCUUAACCUUGUAAAGGCCGUGGAAACUGAAAUGGCUGGAGUGCGGUAGGGGUAGAGGGAAUUCCCAGUGUAGCGGUGAAAUGCGUAGAGAUUGGGAAGAACACCGGUGGCGAAAGCGCUCUACUGGGCCUGCACUGACACUGAGGGACGAAAGCUAGGGGAGCGAAAGGG